CCACUUUCAACCACGGAUUUCUUGGCUCUCGCAUUGAGGAAGAACGCAGGGAAAUGCGAUUAGUAAUUUUAAUUGCAGAUUUUCAGGGAAUCCUCGAAUCUUUGAACGCCCCCUGCGCUCCCUGGUAUUCCGAGGAGCAAUCCUGUUUGAGUGUCAUUA
rnacentral:rRNA from 1 species